AUGUUGUGGGCGAGAAUGAGAUCACCACGGCGGCGGCGUUUUUCUAGAGAAUAAAGGUCGAGCGUCCUCAGCCAUUCUUCAUAGGAAAAACUUUGAGACAUGAACCAUGCGGGUUAGCCAGCUUGUGGACUCUUUCGAGAUACUGUAUGUCUUUGAGGAGAUAAGAAGAAGAGGCUUGAAUCCCGUACUCCAAUAUGGGUCUCACCAGCUAAUGUGAGCACGGUGAUGGUGCAGG